rnacentral:rRNA from 1 species
UGGGGAAUAUUGCACAAUGGGCGCAAGCCUGAUGCAGCCAUGCCGCGUGUGUGAAGAAGGCCUUCGGUUGUAAAGCACUUUCAGCGAGGAGGAAGGUGGUGAGCUUAAUACGCUCAUCAAUUGACGUUACUCGCAGAAGAAGCACCGGCUAACUCCGUGCCAGCAGCCGCGGUAAUACGGAGGGUGCAAGCGUUAAUCGGAAUUACUGGGCGUAAAGCGCACGCAGGCGGUUUGUUAAGUCAGAUGUGAAAUCCCCGGGCUCAACCUGGGAACUGCAUUUGAAACUGGCAAGCUAGAGUCUCGUAGAGGGGGGUAGAAUUCCAGGUGUAGCGGUGAAAUGCGUAGAGAUCUGGAGGAAUACCGGUGGCGAAGGCGGCCCCCUGGACGAAGACUGACGCUCAGGUGCGAAAGCGUGGGGCAGCAAACAGGAUUAGAUACCCUGGUAGUCCACGCUGUAAAACGAUGUCGAUUUUGGAGGUUGUGCCCUUGAGGCGUGGGCUUCCGGAGCUAACGCGUUAAAUCGACCGCCUGGGGAGUACGGCCGCAAGGUUAAAACUUAAAUGAAUUG